UACGUAGGGUGCGAGCGUUAAUCGGAAUUACUGGGCGUAAAGCGUGCGCAGGCGGUUCUGCAAGUCAGAUGUGAAAUCCCCGGGCUUAACCUGGGACUGCGUUUGAAACUACGGAGCUAGAGUGCGGCAGAGGGGGGGUGGAAUUCCACGUGUAGCAGUGAAAUGCGUAGAUAUGUGGAGGAACACCGAUGGCGAAGGCAGCCCCCCUGGGCCGACACUGACGCUCAGGCACGAAAGCGUGGUGAGCAAACAGG
rnacentral:rRNA from 1 species